UGAUAUUUCACUCUGAGCCCGAGUGAGGUGAGCUUUUCUCUCUCUUUUCCUCGGUCUAAAUAAUCUUAUAUCGGUUCUAAAACCCGGAAUCUGGAAGUGGAAGUGAAAAGUAAAAGCGCAGUCUGCAUCCAUAUCCGAGAGCUCCUCAAUUGAAGGGGCUAAAGCUUGAAAAACAAUACAAAUGUUCGGUCGAAGCAGGUUCCUCUCUCUUCCCAUGGUAAUUGGAGCUGUCAUAAUUGGAGUUGUUUCUGGAAAGGCAAUAUUUGGACCUCCACUUGAUGAAUACUGGAAAAAGAAGCUUCAGGAGGAGGCAGCAGCUGCAAAGGAGACUGAUGAAAGAUCAAGUUAGCAUUAUGGUGAAGCUUCUCAUUUUUUAUCAUCGCAUAAAGAUUCAAAGUCAGGGCUCACUUUUCCAGCUUUUUUUUUUAAGGAGGCUUAAGCGGAAUCGUAUGUUUGCUACCCUUGAAUUUUUUAUUUUUUAUUUUUAGAAAUUGGAACGCGGCAAAGCCAUAUUCAUAGGGUCCCAGAAUACUUGUGGAAUUGUGGAAAGGUAAAGUGAGUAAUUCCCGACUUUCUGCUUAAGGAGAAAAUACGCAAGUUUUUUAUUUUGCUCAAAUUUUUUUUUUUUUAUCUGCAAUGAAACACUAGUAGAAAUUCGAAUAUCUCAUCCAAAUUAUGCCA